UUUGCUGUAAACGUUGGAUACUAGCUGUUGGGACAUUGCGGUUUCAGCGGCCAAGCGCAAGUGAUAAGUAUCCCACCUGGGGAGUACGCUCGCAAGGGUGAAACUCAAAGGAAUUGACGGGGGCCCGCACAAGCGGUGGAGCAUGUGGUUUAAUUCGAUGAUACACGAGGAACCUUACCUGGGCUAGAAUGUGAGGGAAUUAGCAGAGAUGCGAAAGUCCGCAAGGACCCGAAACAAGGUGC
rnacentral:rRNA from 1 species